UCGUUUCAAAUAGCAAAUAAUUUUUUAUGAAAAUGGAAUUUUUGAUUAAAAAUUUUCGUGUAUAAAACGAUUCAAAUUUAAGUAAAGUUUAAAAUCUCGCAAUGAUGGUCAAGUUUUUUGUUUGUUUGCUGCUUUUCUUUGCCUCUGAUGUCAGGUCAAUGUUGAAUGGAAAGUUUAAAUUAGACAAUAGCACCGAUGUUUUGACCAUCAAACAUGUAAAAAAUGAUGUAGUGCUGAAAUCAUGUGUGGGAUUUAUGAUUUCCUUUACGCGACAUUGGCUUGUCUCAUCAGCUUUUUGUCUCCAUAGCAAUCCGGAGGAUAAAAUAAUAGUAGAAGUUGGAAUCGAAGAUGGAAACAAUUACAAAGUCAUUCAUUAUAAUGACACAAAAGCUGUAAUUCAUCCAGGUUAUGACGAGAAGACUGGAAAACACGACAUCGGUUUGCUUUUUGUUAAGGAAACUAUUACCGACAAAUUUCCAUACAGAUUAAAAGUUAAAUUUGUUCAUUUUCCCCAAAUGAAUGGAUUUGUAGAAAGCUGGAAUAUGGACCCAGCAACUGGCCAGAAAUCAACUCGCGUUGUUUAUUCACUCUUUGAUAUUUAUCCCAUGUCUGAAUGCAAGUUGAAAUUUGCGAAAUUCGACGGUAUUGCGAGUUUAAAUGAAGAUUUUCAAGUGUGCGCUUUUCCAAAGGAAAAUGGAACAGGUUUAUGCGAGCCAGACUCUGGUGCGCCUUUAUAUGUACAACUGGAUAAACAGAGACAGCUCUAUGGAAUAGUAGGGACAUUCAACGACAUUUUUGCAGUAACAAGUGGACGACAACAUCAUUGUGACCCACAUCAUAGACACCCGGUUAUUUUUACACAACUUUGGCCCUAUUUUCCUUGGAUUGCCGAAAUUACUAAAGUUCCUUAUGAGACUUUAAUAAUAAAUCAUUGACCAUAUUUUUGGUUAUUUAAUAAUUAUUUUAUUAUUCGUUUUCAACUCCGCGCAAAAUGAUGUAAAAAUAAUUUUUACAUUUGAAAUAAACAAAAUAAAAAGUUUGGAAGUACACGUUGUAGUUAUUCAGAUCAAUCUCUGUUAGAUCAUUGAUUACCUUCAACACGUGCCUAGUAAUAAUGUUAUCAAGGAAGCACUGUUUGUAUUUUUUAUUAAUUAUUAAAACUGAAGGUGUAAAACGAA